GACGAACGCUGGCGGCGUGCUUAACACAUGCAAGUCGAACGAUGAAGCGGUGCUUGCACCGUGGAUUAGUGGCGAACGGGUGAGUAAUACGUGAGUGACCUACCUUUGACUCUGGGAUAAGCCUGGGAAACUGGGUCUAAUACCGGAUACGACCAAUCUCUGCAUGGGGUGUUGGUGGAAAGCGUUAUGGAGUGGUUUUAGAUGGGCUCACGGCCUAUCAGCUUGUUGUUGAGGUAAUGGCUUACCAAGGCGACGACGGGUAGCCGGCCUGAGAGGGUGACCGGCCACACUGGGACUGAGACACGGCCCAGACUCCUACGGGAGGCAGCAGUGGGGAAUAUUGCACAAUGGGCGCAAGCCUGAUGCAGCGACGCCGCGUGAGGGAUGACGGCCUUCGGGUUGUAAACCUCUGUUAGCAUCGAAGAAGCGAAAGUGACGGUAGGUGCAGAGAAAGCGCCGGCUAACUACGUG
rnacentral:rRNA from 1 species